CUGGAAUGGUUUAGGUAACGCUAAGGUUUUCUGUUUGGAACUUGCCUAGAAGUUGGUGAAAAGGCUCCAUACCAUCUCUGCUCUCUGUAACUUUAAGCACACAUCGAGUUGGACGCGCAGCUUUUACUCGUGAUCCUCGGGAGUCAAUCCAUUGAUCAAUCAACAUUUAUGAAUCUUCCUGCUAUGUGCUAGGCACUGUGAACAUUGAACACACAAGUUUGACUUUGCUCUCACCCAGAAAAGUUAUCCAACAAGAGCAUUGGGGCAUUUGAUUUCACUGAGCACUGCCUUUCUCCCCACCAGUCUGGCCAGCCCGGCACAGGAACUGGGGACUUCAGGAGUUCCAGGGGGCUGGGGAUUUCCAAGCCCAUAGCGGCCCAAGGGGCAACGUUUGGGAAUGGAGGAGAGGGGUAGGCAAUCAACUGUCAGUAACAGUUUUGGACAAGCCUCCCGAAGAUUGGCGUAGAGAGUGGGAAAUGAAAACUGAGCCGGGGAAACGGUGACCAAUCGGAUCCCAGGGGCUUUUUGGCUCUCAGCCUAUCCCGUGUUGGUUGAGAAGGUGGAAGGCGGGGAAAAAGAAUCGGAACCAACCGGGUGCCAGCGGCAGCCUCAGGGCCUCGGUCUUGUGGGUGUCUCCGCGAGGGGCGUGGCGAGGUCGUGACGGGAAGGAGGGGUCGAGCCGCAGACCAAUCAGAGGUCAAAUUCGGCUCAGUCAUCUUUGAGCACAGACAGAGGUGAUGGUUCUGAAUUAAAGCCCAGGCCCUGAACCACAGAACCAAAAGGGGAAUGGCAAAAAUAGUGUCAUAACUUGCCACCAAAAACGAAAUAUUGCACAGCCUUGAUCAGCACAGAGGUGAAGCUUUGCAUGAAAACCGAGAUCUUCAGACAACCAGACCAUCAUGGAGGAUGCUGGGACAGUGUCUCAUUUAAGGGGAAAGAAGCAAGAAAGAAAAACUGCUUGGAGAGCCCGGAGAACAGAAAUCUUAUAUUCCGGAAGGGGCCUUUGAAUGAACAGUCUCAUAGAGGGUAAGUGUUGAUUUUCAUAUAUAUUCUUGGUGGUUGUUGUUUGGUCAGUUAGAACUGACCAAUUUUAAUUUUAAUUACCCAGAGUUAAUUAAAAAUAAGACGGUAGAUAUUUCAUUUGGGAUCAAUCAUUUAUUCCAUUUUAAUUCAUAGGAUAUAUUAGUGAUGCUUUCAAAAAAUAACCAAUGACAUAGCUCACAUCAUGAAACACAGUAUAAAAGGGGUAUUGUUAGUGUACAGUCUAUUUUUUGGCUAGUCAGUAAAAAACCCUCUCACCCCCAAGUCUGUAGUGGGAAAUAAAUUCAAUUCUGGGUAGUUCUUUCUUUGGUAA
ensembl:lncRNA